rnacentral:rRNA from 1 species
UACGGGGGGAGCAAGCGUUGUUCGGAUUUACUGGGCGUAAAGGGCUCGUAGGCGGCCAACUAAGUCGGACGUGAAAUCCCUCAGCUUAACUGGGGAACUGCGUCCGAUACUGGAUGGCUUGGAUUUGGGAGAGGGAUGCGGAAUUCCAGGUGUAGCGGUGAAAUGCGUAGAUAUCUGGAGGAACACCGGUGGCGAAGGCGGCAUCCUGGACCGGUAUUGACGCUGAGGCGCGAAAGCUAGGGGAGCAAACGGGGAU